GACAGAGGUGCCAAGCGUUAGGCGGAAUUACUGGGCGUAAAGCGCACGUAGGCGGACUCUUAAGUCGGUGGUGAAACGUCCUCGGAGCUCAACUCCAGAACUGCCUUCGAUAGCUGGGAGUCUUGAGUCCGGGAGAGGUGAGUGGAACUGCGAGUGUAGAGGUGAAAUUCGUAGAUACUUCGCAAGAACACCAGUGGCGAAGGCCGGCUCACUGGCCCGGUACUGGACGCUGAGGUGGCGAAAGCGUGGGAGCAAAGG
rnacentral:rRNA from 1 species